UACGGGGGGGGCAAGCGUUGUUCGGAAUUACUGGGCGUAAAGGGCUCGUAGGUGGCCAACUAAGUCAGACGUGAAAUCCCUCGGCUUAACCGGGGAACUGCGUCUGAUACUGGAUGGCUUGAGUUUGGGAGAGGGACGCGGAAUUCCAGGUGUAGCGGUGAAAUGCGUAGAUAUCUGGAGGAAUACCGGUGGCGAAGGCGGCAUCCUGGACCGACAUUGACGCUGAACGGCGAAAGCUAGGGGAGCAAACAGG
rnacentral:rRNA from 1 species